CACUUUGGUACGUUCGACCGGGCAGUAGUACGACGCAAACGGUAACGGGUUCGCCGGACACCUCGGUUCCGGACAGUUGUGUCGCGCGUUCGUUACGCUGAAGUGUGUGUGUGCGCGGGCUUGUUUUUUCGGGGAUUUCGUCGUGGGAGAAGGUUCACGUUUUGCGAACUUUCUUCGCGACUAAUGGUUACGGUGCCGCAGCUGGAAGUUCCUGCUCUGUGGCAGUGUCGGCAGCCGCUAGUGGUGCUAGUGCUGAAUCGACGCAAGAACCGCUGCUGAACAAACCCUUUUGUGGUGUUGUAGUGCUGCUCGCGAGUAACCUCGUGAUCGUGAUCUCCAUUGUGCGGUGAACAGCAGUCUGUUUUGGAGUGUUGGAUUAGUGCACCCUUUUGGUCUAGGUUUUGUUUUUGGGCAAGCUGGGCUAAUCAACAGAAAUAACAUCAACAUUAGAAGAAGGGAUCCCGAGCAAAAGCGAAAAAGUGAGUCAAAAGUGAGUGUGCAUUUGGGUGGGUCGAAUAACACAGUGAAGUUGAAGGUUUAAGUAAACGCGGUUGGGAAAGAAGAAGAGGAAGAAAAGUUAAAAAGCUGAAGAAAGAAGAAGAAGCGACAAUCAACAGUAAACCAAAAGUUUAGUGGCGAAAAAAAAACCGAAUAAAAUAGGGGCACUCACCAUAAAUACAACAUAAAGUAAACGAAAAUAAAAUAUAUAAAAAAUAGUGAAGAGCAGAGUGCAAAAAAGAAAAAAAAAACAUAGCGCCGCCACCAACCAAAAUCGCUAAAGUCCAAUUCCUAAGUAGAAAAAAAAGUGGUAAAGUGGAGAAGUGAAGAGAAGCGAAGAGAGCUUUCACACAGGUGAAGAAUUGGAUAUUGUGAAUCGACGUCGUUUUUUUUCGCUUCAUACCUGCUGGCUUCCCCAUUAAGGUAUCCGUCAGAGGAAGAGACCGUCGUCAACGGAUGCCGCCGCCGCCGCCGUGUGCCGCAACGGCUAACUAAUAAGGUACGUUCUGCAAAACAUUCCACAAUACCUUUCGCAGAGCUGGGAAAACAAACCUAACAACAUGCCUAAAGGUUAGUUCU